rnacentral:rRNA from 1 species
UACGUAGGGCGCAAGCGUUGUCCGGAAUUAUUGGGCGUAAAGAGCUCGUAGGCGGUUUGUCGCGUCUGCCGUGAAAACCCGAGGCUUAACCUCGUGGCUUGCGGUGGAUACGGGCAGACUAGAGGUAGGUAGGGGAGAAUGGAAUUCUCGGUGUAGCGGUGAAAUGCGCAGAUAUCGGGAGGAACACCGGUGGCGAAGGCGGUUCUCUGGGCCUUACCUGACGCUGAGGAGCGAAAGCGUGGGGAGCGAACAGG